CACAGUUGAUUGUUACAGCUAAUGAAAUCAAAAGUUUAUAAAACAGUUUAUUUUAGUGGAAGGAAGGGGGUAAGGUGAAAAGAAAAUCAACCAACAGAGGUUAAUCUGAUUAGUAUGAAUGUGACUCAUGUUGCACAGAAAAGUGAGUUCAAAUCCUCCAGUUAAUGAUAUCAAGACCUUGAACAAGCUGAACUCUUCAAGGUUGACCAAAUGGUGAGGAUGACGGUAGUUCCUUGAUUGAUGUUUCCGGUAAGAUGAGCGAGCACCACUAAACUUUCCAUAGCCUCCUUGAUUUCAGAGAAACUUCUCCUCCAAAGCAAUUAACCAAUGAGGUAAAGUCUUCUUAGAAAGCUAAUGAGGGAUUCCCAGUAAGAGAGAUCUUCUAACCAACAAAGCUCAUUGAGACUGGGAAAUAAUGAGGGUGAACCUUCUUUCAACACUCAUAAGGCUAAUACAAUACAACCAUUUAACCAUAAACAUUUGAGCUUGCACAGGAAACUAGAAGAGUAAACUUCACACAACUUUGUGCAAUGACUAAGAAUUACUUCUUCAGUAUUGGGCAUUGACCGUCGUAGUCUGCGAGAAAGUAAAUACAUAGAUUGAAUGAGUUAUCAAGUGAGUUUUAAGAGACAAAACAAUAUACCUUGUUUGUUAAAACUUCAUAAAGUAUAGAAUCACAAAAAGCAUUGAUCAUGGCGUUGAAAAGUAUAGAAUCUGGCUUCAUUCCAUUCUCCUCAACUUUAGAAAGAAGUGAAGGAAUAGACUUGAAAUGCUUUAGACGUGUUAGGGCAGCCACAAGUGUUGUAUGUUAUAAGAGUAGGCCUAUGCCCUUCUUCGGUCAAAUUAUAGAAGAUGGUCACAGCUUCUUGCGGUUUUCCUUUUCCAAUCAAACUAUUCAUCAGUUUUAUUCUUGAAAUAACUGUUUGACAACUAUUGCUCCCCCUACAGAUUAGACAGUGGGAUGGAUUGCCCGUUUCUUCUGGAGUAGAACUUGAUUUUGACUGAUUGGUCUUGUAUUCCCUCAAGUCCUGUUUCAGAAUCGCCAAAAGUUGAAAAUUAUAGGAAAUGUUACAAUACAUUAUGAUGAUUGUCUUUAACACGACAAUCAUUAGGAUCCGAUGCAUAAAUUGAAGUUCAGAUGAUUUUUCAGGCCA